CUUUUAGUAUCAUGUCUCUUAAAAUAGUUUUUUCAAAAAUAAAUAAAUUUUAAAUAAUAAAAUAAUAAGGGUUUUAUUCUGCUGUAUUAAACUCUAAUGCAAAGCCUGUUUGGUUCAACCUGUGUUUAUUAGGUUUUUAUUAGAUCUGAAUUUUCUAACCAAUUGGGCAAUAGGGAAAGUAGGUAAAACUGUGAGAUAGUUCCCUAGCAAAUGUCUGGAUGCAACUCUAGUCCAUACAGGACAUAUCUUACUCUAGUCUAUAUAGGAUAUUGAACAUUGCCUUCUUUUAACAUCAUUUUAAGGUACAUUUUGUUCUUUCUUUUCCUUUUUUUUUUAAAGAUGUUAUUUAUUUAUUUGUUAGAGAGAGAGCACAAGCAGGGGGAGCAGCAGACAGAGGGAGAAGCAGGCUCCCCGCUGAGCAGGGAGCCUGAUUCAGGACUUGAUCUCAGGAUCCUGGGAUCAUGACCUGAGCCUAAGGCAGAUGCUUAAACAACUGAAACACCCAGGCAUCCCUCUUUUCCUUUAUAUUUUUAAGUGAGAAUGUACUCCUACUACAUUGUUCUACUGUUACCUCUGUUUGGUGCCAUGUUGAUAUGGCAAGACUUGACUCUAACAUGUUGGCAAAAAAGAGAAAAACAAACCCUUUUAUAGGGCAGCUAACUCUUCAAUAGUGGCCAAUGAUUAAUCAAGAGCAGGAGACUCAAAACAAAUCAGAUAUCACUACUCAUAUAGCAUUCUAAGCCUUUUUCUAAGUGUUAAUGGAAUAACAUCAUGUCUGGGUAAUGUGGCAUUAAUAAAUUGAUGAAAACUAAAGUCAUUUAAUGUCCUUAAAGAUGAACAUAUUAGUAUAACAAAGCACCUUGUACACAUACAAUGUAACAUAUUCCUGCCUUCUCAAGCUAUUAUUAUAAAGGUGCCUAAAGAAACAAAAAAACUGAGACAGUUUAAUUUUAUUAAUUGUGUAUUCCUAUGUUUUUAAUGCAUAACAUUAACAUUACCUAUAAUUUCUUUUCAUCAUCUGGGUAUGCUCAAGGAAGUGAGGAAUAAUACAAGGUAAUAACUUUCAUCAGAACUGCCUGAGUUCAUUAGAAUUUAAACACCAAAUAUGCUGAUUUAUUUUUUUUUUAAAGAUUUUAUUUAUUUGACAGAGAGAGACACAGUGAGAGAGGGAACACAAGCAGGGGGAGUGGGAGAAGGAGAAGCAGACUUCCCUCCAAGCAGGGAGCCCAACGUGGGGUUCGAUCCCAGGACCCUGGGAUCAUGACCUGAGCUGAAGGCAGACGCUUAACGACUGAGGCACCCAGGUGCCCCUAUGCUGAUUUAUUUUAAGUUUGGAAAAUUAUUCAGAGAUAAAUUUCCAUAUCAAAUAUCAUUUAUAUUUAGGUUAUCUUACUUAAAACUACAAAAUAUUGCAUCUGACAUUUCCUAUGUUGACAACUUUUUAAAAAAUAAUCAUACCAGAUAUCUGACAAAUGUAAAUUUAAGAUUCAACAUUAUUCUGUAUCUAGAAUGAGAAAACAUGCAUAACAGCUUCACUUUUAAUCUUGGGAGAAAAGGUAACUAGGUGGUUAUGAACUAGCAUCUCCCAUUAAAUUAAUGGCUUUACCUAAUUCUUAUGUCUUCUGAAUGCAGCUCAUUAAACUUUAUGCUCUUUUAUAUUCAUUACAGGAAUUCUGUGUUAUUUUUCCUUAGGAUCCUCCUAUAAAUCAUUUUAUAGGUGAGGAAGCUUGACCUACUUUCCCAAAGAUAAAAAUCUCUUCAAAUCACUGGUCUAAUAUAAUCUUGAAAAUACCAUCUGCUAGAGCCUAGAGGAUUCACACGGACAUAAGGCAAUGUUGGGUUGCUAUUACAAAACACUAUACUUAAACAACAGAGAUUUCUUUUCUCUCAGCUCUGAAGGCUGGGAGUCUGAGAUCAGGGAUGAGCAUGGUUCCGUUCUGGUGAGAGCUCUCCUCCGAGCUUGCAGAUAGCCACCUUUUUGCUGUGUGGUCACAUGUCCUUUCCUUCAUGUGUGUGUUUGGAGAGACAGAGAAAGCACUCUUUGGUGUCCCUUCUUAUAAAGAUACUAAUUGUAUCAGAUCAGAGCUCCAUGGGGAGCUCUCUUCACAUAGGGUGAGGAGUGCUUAGCACUUCAACAUAUGAAUUUUGGGGGGGCAAUUCAGUCUAUAUCCUUAUAUGCAUCAUACAAUGACUGAUAUCACUAAGAAAUCAUCGCGGGUGCCCCUUUCUAGUUGUUGAAUAAUUGGUGACCCCAUCCGAUUAGUUCAACAAGUAGCUACUGUUCCAGGUCCUGCUCAGGGGCCAGGUAUAAAGUCAUGAACAAAGGAGAAUUAACUGUUAUCUUGUAUUUGGUAUGAUACGUGCUUAAAAAGGAAAAACUCUGAUGUAAAAAGAUCGUGAGAUGAUGGGAGGCUUCUCUGAAAUCAUUUUAGGUGAGACUCAGGAUGACCUGAAGGAUGCUUACGAUGCCCUGCCGGGCAUUCAGUUAAGCAGCUGUGCCAUGGAGUUUCUGAGCCAGGGUCUCCUGCCGCUCCGCAUGCAGGACCACAACCAGAAGUCAAGGUAUCAGAACAAAUUGGCAUUCCAAAGCAGCUAUCAUGAAGAACUUCAUUGCUCCUGAAACAUGAGAUGGACCCAGAAAACUGCAACAAGUUGUCCAACAGCACAGUAAUCCGCAAAAAUACACAUCUGCCAGCUACUUCUGUUCACCAGGUGUUACGACCCUCACCCACCCACAGCUGGUGUUAACAACUUUCAGUCCACUUUUGGAUGACUACUUCCACCACUUCAUGAUAACUCAGGAGCUUCAUCCUUUUUGCAUCCCUCUUUCACAACUAAACCUCAGGUCUUUUUCAAGAUUUCCAUUAGACAUUAGAGAUUUCUUUGAAGAACAAAAAGGAAACAUCCACUGUAAAGAGCUGACCUCAGCAGCACAGUGAUGAGUAGAUGUGCUGCUAGACCCACGAGUACUCCAAUCCCUUCCUCACCCGUGUUUAGCUCUCUCUUCCUCCUCCGUGGAGCAGUGCACCAUCAACAUGUCAGAGAAGAGGAAGCAAGAGGCUGGAGAGGGAAGAAAAAUGAUCAUUUCCAUACUGAACUGUCCUGGGAAACAAAGUGAAGAUCACUUUUUUCCAUGGAAAACUUUGCGGCAACAGAGUGACCAGAGACACCUCAUCUUUACAGAUAAUGGAUCAACAUAAAAGCAAAAGCAUCUUUCAUUUUCCUGGAUCCUUCAUGAUAUUGUGGAGCUGAACCAGCCAAACAUGCAUUGGAUAUAUGGCAGCCCUAUGAGUUAUGUACUAUAUAUUAUCAUCAUUUCAAUUUUAUGGACAAGGAUAUGAAGUCACGGAGAGGUGAAAUGAUUUACCCAGGAGUCCCACAGCUGGACCCCCAGAAGUCUCACUGGAUGAUCAUGGAAUCAAUCUCAAAAUCCAAGACCCUGAAGUCUACAAUCAAAUUUAAUGAAGAUUUUUGAUGUAGUUAUUCUUGAUUCUGAAAUCUAUGAAAUAAAAAGCAAGUUAUCUGACCUCCUCAUACAUACACCCACCCCAUGGGGAAAUAGGAAUGGGAGAGUCACAAAAGAUUCUGUGGU